AGCAAAUAGUAAAGUUAUGCUAUAGGUCACUCAGCCACAGAAGGAGCUUUUAAGGAGGUCAAGCAAACAAAAUUUAAGGAGAUUCACAGAGGUUUCCUGGAGAAGGUGCUGAUGGAGCUCAUCUCUAAAGAAGAGUAUGCAAGAUUAGGCAACAGGGAAGCAUUCUUUUCUUGAGGAAAAAACAGAUGUUGAAAGGCAAAGUGAUAGACUCUGUUGGUGGUGUUGGAAUGUAAAGCAGGAGGUGGUUUGUGAUAAAGAAGAGGUAGUCUGAAUUGGAUUCCAAAGGCCCUUGCAUUCCCAAAUGUUUAUCGAGAACCUAUAUUGUGCCAGGCACCCUUCAAGAAAUCCAUGACCCAGCACUGACUGUGGCAAAUGAGCUUUCCAUUGGAACUUCCAUUAGGUUGGGAGGAAACAGAAAACAAAACGGUAAGCCUGAGCUUUAGAGAUACUUGGAGACUGCGAUUGGUUUGCCAGGGAAGUAACUAGGGCAAUGUCAACAAAGUGAGAGAUGCUGGGGAAAGAGUACAUAGGGCAAGUGAGGAUGGUUUUUCUGGACACGGGACAUGAAACUGGGAGGGUGAAAAGGAACAUUCCUUGUGUAGAACCCAGGGAAGUGCAUGCCUAGAAGGGGGAAUGGAAUGUGCAAAGGUCAUGAGUCCCUGAGCCGUGAGAACGUCCUCCCCCAUGGCUGGUGCAGUGCGCAGAGUCCUCCCUCACCCAUGGCUGGUGCAGUGCGCAGAGUCCUCCCUCACCCAUGGCGGGUGCAGUGCGCGGAGUCCUCCCUCACCCAUGGCUGGUGCAGUGCGCAGAGUCCUCCUUCCCUCACCUGCUCUAUCUCCUCCCUCACUUCCACUUCCCAGAGAAAGUAGACUUCCCCAAUAAAGUUUCCAUGCCACA